GCAGUCGAGCGGAUGAGUGGAGCUUGCUCCAUGAUUCAGCGGCGGACGGGUGAGUAAUGCCUAGGAAUCUGCCUGGUAGUGGGGGACAACGUUUCGAAAGGAACGCUAAUACCGCAUACGUCCUACGGGAGAAAGUGGGGGAUCUUCGGACCUCACGCUAUCAGAUGAGCCUAGGUCGGAUUAGCUAGUUGGUGAGGUAAAGGCUCACCAAGGCGACGAUCCGUAACUGGUCUGAGAGGAUGAUCAGUCACACUGGAACUGAGACACGGUCCAGACUCCUACGGGAGGCAGCAGUGGGGAAUAUUGGACAAUGGGCGAAAGCCUGAUCCAGCCAUGCCGCGUGUGUGAAGAAGGUCUUCGGAUUGUAAAGCACUUUAAGUUGGGAGGAAGGGCAGUAAGUUAAUACCUUGCUGUUUUGACGUUACCAACAGAAUAAGCACCGGCUAACUUCGUGCCAGCAGCCGCGGUAAUACGAAGGGUGCAAGCGUUAAUCGGAAUUACUGGGCGUAAAGCGCGCGUAGGUGGUUCGUUAAGUUGGAUGUGAAAGCCCCGGGCUCAACCUGGGAACUGCAUCCAAAACUGGCGAGCUAGAGUAUGGCAGAGGGUGGUGGAAUUUCCUGUGUAGCGGUGAAAUGCGUAGAUAUAGGAAGGAACACCAGUGGCGAA
rnacentral:rRNA from 1 species